GACGAACGCUGGCGGCGUGCCUAAUACAUGCAAGUCGAGCGGAAGUUGGAGAGCUUGCUCUUCAACUUUAGCGGCGGACGGGUGAGUAACACGUGGGCAACCUGCCCUGCAGAUCGGGAUAACUCCGGGAAACCGGUGCUAAUACCGAAUAGUUUUCGCCACCUCCUGGUGGCGUACGGAAAGACGGUUUCGGCUGUCACUGCAGGAUGGGCCCGCGGCGCAUUAGCUAGUUGGUGGGGUAACGGCCCACCAAGGCGACGAUGCGUAGCCGACCUGAGAGGGUGAUCGGCCAGACUGGGACUGAGACACGGCCCAGACUCCUACGGGAGGCAGCAGUAGGGAAUCUUCCGCAAUGGACGAAAGUCUGACGGAGCAACGCCGCGUGAGUGACGAAGGUUUUCGGAUCGUAAAACUCUGUUGUGAGGGAAGAACAAGUACCACUUAACUACUGGUACCUUGACGGUACCUCACCAGAAAGCCACGGCUAACUACGUGCCAGCCGCCGCCGUAAUAC
rnacentral:rRNA from 1 species